CGCCUCCUGCUACUUUAUAGGAGGUCCAGCCUGCCCAGUGAUAAAAUUAAACGGCCGCGGUACCCUAACCGUGCAAAGGUAGCGCAAUCACUUGUUCUUUAAAUGAGGACUAGUAUGAACGGCAUCACGAGGGUUACACUGUCUCCCCACUCUACUCAGUGAAACUGAUCUCCCCGUGAAGAAGCGGGGAUAAAAAUAUAAGACGAGAAGACCCCAUGGAGCUUAAAACUCAGUCUUACCUGCCACCUAAAAAACCUAGAAACCACGCAGUACUAAUGACUAGUUUUCGGUUGGGGUGACCGCGGAGAAAAACAAAUCCUCCACGACGAAAGGACCUAUUUACCUAAUCCAAGAGCUACACCUCUAAGAAUCAACACAUUGACCAACUGAUCCAAUUUUUGAUCAGCGGACCAAGUUACCCUGGGGAUAACAGCGCAAUCCAUUUCAAGAGCUCAUAUCGACAAAUGGGUUUACGACCUCGAUGUUGGAUCAGGGUAUCCAAGUGGCGCAGCCGCUACUAACGGUUCGUUUGUUCAACGAUUAAAACCCU
rnacentral:rRNA from 1 species